GGUCAGUGAUGUGUUGGCAUGUAUUACCUGACUAAACGGCUGAUGUGUGAUAACACAAGCUCUAGAAUUACGCUGAGACCUU
ensembl:snoRNA small nucleolar RNA, C/D box 45A